GGAGUUAGCCGGUGCUUCUUCUGUGAGUGAUGUCCUUCCUGCCGGCUAUUAACCCGCAGGCCUUCUUCCUCACUGAAAGUGCUUUAACAACCCGAAGGCCUUCUUCACACACGCGGCAUGGCUGGAUCAGGGUUGCCCCCAUUGUCCAAUAUUCCCCACUGCUGCCUCCCGUAGGAGUCUGGGCCGUGUCUCAGUCCCAGUGUGGCUGGAUCAUCCUCUCCAGACCAGCUACGGAUCGUCGCCUUGGUGAGCCGUUACCUCACCAACCAGCUAAUCCGACAUAGGCUCAUCCGAUAGCGCGAGGCCCGAAGGUCCCCCGCUUUCCCCCGUAGGGCGUAUGCGGUAUUAGCCUGGGUUUCCCCAGGUUAUCCCCCGACUAUCGGGCAGAUUCCUAUGCAUUACUCACCCGUCCGCCGCUCGCCACCAGGGAGCAAGCUCCCCGUGCUGCCGCUCGACUUGCAUGUGUUAGCUGCCGCCACGCGUCACUACUACGACCAUGAUACAACUACUGA
rnacentral:rRNA from 1 species